ensembl:lncRNA
UUCAGUCUUCCAGUUGGAGAGGAGUGACACAGAUGUUUAAGACGCAAGCAGCUUAGAUGUAACACAUUGUAAUAAAGUGUUGCCGUGCUAGGCAAAUGUAUGAGAAUGAUGAAUUCAGUAGUACGCGAGAAGAGGUCAGAUGCUGCAUUGAGUAUCUUCCGUGAGCGAGGAAAUGCUGAACUUCAGCUCAGUAUAUCACUGCUGAAGCUGUGCCCGGCCAUGGGAGAUGACAAGCAGUUGCUACCAGCCAAGCUUUAAAUUAGGAGAGAAGAACCUUUUUCAUUACAUUCCAAAGAAUUGUGAAAGAUGUGGAAAUCACUGCUUGGAAAACUGUACUUCUACAGGGAGCUGAGUGAAGUCCUACUGAUUCUCACUGCAAUGAAGUACUCAGGACACUUUUUUUGAGCCCACCACUACAGUCAUCACAAAGACAACACUUAGUCCAAGAAGAUUCUAGGCCUUCUUCAGAAGCCAUUCAGUGAACAAAAAAAUAACAAUCCUUUCAGUGAGAUGACUCGUUUCAGCACCUACACAUUUGACAUUGGGAGAAUCCAUUUACAGAUGUUUGAUACCACCGUUAUUGUUAAGACUCAUCUGGGAUGCACUUUACAUUUCCUCAUAUUAAUCUUCUUUCUUUGCUGCAGUGAUUUCUUAGGUGUGGGGUGCAGGCUUUGCAUCUGUGGCUGUUUUGCCAUCUGCUAAUGGUUGCCCAGGCAGGAGUUGGUCUUAUUUCAAGGCUCGAUCUGAGCUGCCCCACAACUUCUCUACCACUUAGCGGAAUGUUUGGCAUGGGGAACUGCAGAAACCUUUCACUUAGCCCCAGGUUUUGCAUCUUGCUGUGACUUACCUCAGAGAUUUCUACCCUCCCUUUCAACUCAGCUGAGUUUGGGCAAGCAGUUCAAAUGCUAUUAGGAGUGCCU